rnacentral:rRNA from 1 species
UACGAAGGGGGCUAGCGUUGCUCGGAAUGACUGGGCGUAAAGGGCGCGUAGGCGGUUUGUACAGUCAGGUGUGAAAUUCCCGGGCUCAACCUGGGGGCUGCACUUGAUACGUAUGGACUGGAGUGGGGAAGAGGGUCGUGGAAUUCCCAGUGUAGAGGUGAAAUUCGUAGAUAUUGGGAAGAACACCGGUGGCGAAGGCGGCGACCUGGUCCUUGACUGACGCUGAGGCGCGAAAGCGUUGGGAGCAAACAGG